rnacentral:misc_RNA from 1 species
GUGAAUCAUCGAAUUUUUGAACGCAAAUUGCGCUUCCUGGCGUCCCGGGAAGUAUGCCUGUUUGAGGGUCAGUAUUAAUAUAAAGUCGGCUUGGUUACAAAUUGUGACGUUUCCGGAGUUUGGGCUAUCUUAACAUUUUUGGCUAAGAGGCUUAUCAUUAACCUUUUUUGCGCAUUUUUAAACGUACAUAAAUUUUUUUUCUUCGUCUCUUCUUAAUGCCAACAUCUUAUUCGAUGCGAUCACAUCUGAUG